UGUGGAGCUUCAGACCUAAAAUAAUUUAUGUUUAAUACACUGGGAAUAUCAGCUAAAACUUAAUAAUAAUUAUUGGAGUGUCUUUGGUUGGGGCGACCGCGGGGUAAAACAAAACCCCCACGUGGAAUGGGAGAAUCACUCCUAGUACCUAGAGCCGCUACUCCAAGUAACAGAAAUUCUGACUUUAUGAUCCGGUAUUACCGAUCAACGGACCGAGUUACCCCA
rnacentral:rRNA from 1 species